CUCUCUCUCCCUCCAUAUCUAUUCUAUCUCUCUCUCCCUCCCUCUCUCUCUCCCUCCAUAUCUAUUCUAUCUCUCUCCCUCCCUCCAUAUCUAUUCUAUCUCUCUCUCUCUCCCUCCAUAUCUAUUCUCUCUCUCUCUCUCUCUCUCUCCCUCCAUAUCUAUUCUAUCUCUCUCUCUCCCUCCAUAUCUAUUCUCUCUCUCUCUCCCUCCAUAUCUAUUCUCUCUCUCUCUCUCCCUCCAUAUAUAUUCUAUCUCUCUCUCCCCUCCCUCCAUAUAUAUUCUAUCUCUCUCUCUCUCCCUCCCUCCAUAUCUAUUCUAUCUCUCUCUCUCUCUCCCUCCAUAUCUAUUCUAUCUCUCCCUCCCUCCAUAUCUAUUCUAUCUCUCUCUCUCUCCCUCCAUAUCUAUUCUCUCUCUCUCCCUCCCUCUCUCUCUCCCUCCAUAUCUAUUCUAUCUCUCUCCCUCCCUCCAUAUCUAUUCUAUCUCUCUCUCUCUCCCUCCAUAUCUAUUCUCUCUCUCUCUCUCUCUCUCUCCCUCCAUAUCAUUCUAUCUCUCUCUCUCCCUCCAUAUCUAUUCUCUCUCUCUCUCUCCCUCCAUAUCUAUUCUAUCUCUCUCUCUCUCUCCCUCCAUAUCUAUUCUCUCUCUCUCUCUCCCUCCAUAUAUAUUCUAUCUCUCUCUCUCCCUCCCUCCAUAUAUAUUCUAUCUCUCUCUCUCUCCCUCCCUCCAUAUCUAUUCUAUCUCUCUCUCUCUCUCCCUCCAUAUCUAUUCUAUCUCUCCCUCCCUCCAUAUCUAUUCUAUCUCUCUCUCUCUCCCUCCAUAUCUAUUCUCUCUCUCUCUCUCUCCCUCCAUAUCUAUUCUAUCUCUCUCCCUCCCUCCAUAUCUAUUCUAUCUCUCUCCCUCCCUCCAUAUCUAUUCUAUCUCUCUCUCUCUCCCUCCAUAUCUAUUCUCUCUCUCUCUCUCUCCCUCCAUAUCUAUUCUAUCUCUCUCUCUCCCUCCAUAUCUAUUCUAUCUCUCUCUCUCCCUCCAUAUCUAUUCUAUCUCUCUCUCUCCCUCCAUAUCUAUUCUAUCUCUCUCUCUCUCCCCUCCCUCCAUAUCUAUUCUCUCUCUCUCUCUCCCUCCAUAUCUAUUCUAUCUCUCUCUCUCCCUCCAUAUCUAUUCUCUCUCUCUCUCUCCCUCCAUAUCUAUUCUCUCUCUCUCUCCCUCCCUCCAUAUCUAUUCUAUCUCUCUCCCUCCCUCCAUAUCUAUUCUCUCCGUCCACCUCCUCUCUCUUCCUCCUCCUCUCUCUCCAUAGAUUAUUUCAAACCACCCCAGAGGUCGAUAGAAAAGCCCUUCCGACUGUGUGUCUCGGACGUCUUCAAAGGUGAGAUCACACUCUGUUCUAUCUGUGGUUCUAGAUCAGGGUUCUGUGUGGGUCUACAUAGAUACAUUACAUAG
rnacentral:lncRNA from 1 species